AGAUAUAAGAGAAAUGAAAAAUUGGGUCGAUGGAUCCGACCCGGAUCCUCCUAACUUGUGCUACUAUUCCACAUGCUUGCCUAGACGAGAGCAUGAAAAACUAAGUACUUAGUUUGCUAUUAUUAUUUUUUGCAAAAAGUAAAGAUUUGUAUUAAUAUUAAUGAAGGGUGAUAGUGAUACCUAGGGGUGAGAACGGGGCGGGUUGCGAUGUUAAUCAAGCGACGGUUAGGAAAUAAAGAAGAGAAGAACACAAAUUUAUAGAGGUUCGACCCAAGAUGGUGUACGACUGUACAUCAUCUCUCUUCUGCUGUGGUGAUGGCUUUGUAUUAAUCAAAUCCAAGCUUUCCUAUGCGUCCGCUUAAUCGCGCUCAUGUGACGCUUAAGUUGUUAUGCUGUUUUGUA
rnacentral:lncRNA from 1 species